rnacentral:rRNA from 1 species
CAACUCGAGCGGUAGAGAGAAGCUUGCUUCUCUUGAGAGCGGCGGACGGGUGAGUAAUGCCUAGGAAUCUGCCUAGUGGUGGGGGAUAACGUUCGGAAACGGACGCUAAUACCGCAUACGUCCUACGGGAGAAAGCGGGGGACCUUCGGGCCUCGCGCCAUUAGAUGAGCCUAGGUCGGAUUAGCUAGUUGGUGAGGUAAUGGCUCACCAAGGCUACGAUCCGUAACUGGUCUGAGAGGAUGAUCAGUCACACUGGAACUGAGACACGGUCCAGACUCCUACGGGAGGCAGCAGUGGGGAAUAUUGGACAAUGGGCGAAAGCCUGAUCCAGCCAUGCCGCGUGUGUGAAGAAGGUCUUCGGAUUGUAAAGCACUUUAAGUUGGGAGGAAGGGUAGUAACUUAAUACGUUGCUACUUUGACGUUACCGACAGAAUAAGCACCGGCUAACUUCGUGCCAGCAGCCGCGGUAAUA